rnacentral:rRNA from 1 species
GCAGCAGUGGGGAAUAUUGCAUAAUGGGCGGCAGCCUGAUGCAGCCAUGCCGCGUGUGUGAAGAAGGCCUUCGGGUUGUAAAGCACUUUCAGUCGUGAGGAAGGUGGUGUAGUUAAUAGCUGCAUUAUUUGACGUUAGCGACAGAAGAAGCACCGGCUAACUCCGUGCCAGCAGCCGCGGUAAUACGGAGGGUGCGAGCGUUAAUCGGAAUUACUGGGCGUAAAGCGCAUGCAGGUGGUUAGUUAAGUCAGAUGUGAAAGCCCGGGGCUCAACCUCGGAACUGCAUUUGAAACUGGCUGACUAGAGUACUGUAGAGGGGGGUAGAAUUUCAGGUGUAGCGGUGAAAUGCGUAGAGAUCUGAAGGAAUACCAGUGGCGAAGGCGGCCCCCUGGACAGAUACUGACACUCAGAUGCGAAAGCGUGGGGAGCAAACAGGAUUAGAUACCCUGGUAGUCCACGCCGUAAACGAUGUCUACUUGGAGGUUGUGGCCUUGAGCCGUGGGCUUUCGGAGCUAACGCGUUAAGUAGACCGCCUGGGGGAGUACGGUCGCAAGAUUAAAACUCAAAUGAAUUGACGGGGGCCCGCACAAGCGGUGGAGCAUGUGGUUUAAUUCGAUGCAACGCGAAGAACCUUACCUACUCUUGACAUCCAGAGAACUUAGCAGAGAUGCUUUGGUGCCUUCGGGAACUCUGAGACA